CUAGAUGAUUUUAGUGCUUGCACUAAAUGAAACUAGAUACAAGCGAGCGGCGGACGGGUGAGUAACACGUGGGUAACCUGCCCAAGAGACUGGGAUAACACCUGGAAACAGAUGCUAAUACCGGAUAACAACACUAGACGCAUGUCUAGAGUUUGAAAGAUGGUUCUGCUAUCACUCUUGGAUGGACCUGCGGUGCAUUAGCUAGUUGGUAAGGUAACGGCUUACCAAGGCAAUGAUGCAUAGCCGAGUUGAGAGACUGAUCGGCCACAUUGGGACUGAGACACGGCCCAAACUCCUACGGGAGGCAGCAGUAGGGAAUCUUCCACAAUGGACGAAAGUCUGAUGGAGCAACGCCGCGUGAGUGAAGAAGGGUUUCGGCUCGUAAAGCUCUGUUGGUAGUGAAGAAAGAUAGAGGUAGUAACUGGCCUUUAUUUGACGGUAAUUACUUAGAAAGUCACGGCUAACUACGUGCCAGCAGCCGCGGUAAUACGUAGGUGGCAAGCGUUGUCCGGAUUUAUUGGGCGUAAAGCGAGUGCAGGCGGUUCAAUAAGUCUGAUGUGAAAGCCUUCGGCUCAACCGGAGAAUUG
rnacentral:rRNA from 1 species